rnacentral:rRNA from 1 species
GCAAGUCGAACGAGAACGGGUCUUAGCUUGCUAAGAUUGUCAGCUAAGUGGCGCACGGGUGAGUAAUAUAUAGGUAACAUGCCUUCGAGAAGGGGAUAACGUUUGGAAACGGACGCUAAUACCCUAUAUGCCUUUAAGACUUAAGUCUGCAAGGGAAAUAUUUAUAGCUCGAAGAUUGGCCUGUACAGUAGCAGUUAGGUGGUGAGGUAAUGGCUAACCAAGACAAUGACGCUGAGCUGGUUUGAGAGGAUGAUC